GAAAGAAACAUCGAUUUCCUAAGUAGCGGCGAGCGAAAGGGAAAGAGGCCAAACCAGAGAUAGCAAUAUCUUUGGGGUUGCGGACUGCGUAAUUGAUUCAAUAUUUUUAGCAGAAGUGUAUGGGAAGACACACCAUAGUAGGUAAUAGUCCUGUAAGCGAAAAGGAUAUUGACAAGGCAGGAUCCAGAGUACCACCGGACACGAGGAACCCGGUGGGAAGCCGGGGGGACCACCCCCCAAGCCUAAAUACUACCUGAUGACCGAUAGUGAAAAGUACAGUGAUGGAAAGUUGAAAAGAACCCCGGAAGGGGAGUGAAAAAGAAUCUGAAACCCUAUGUUUACAAGCUGCUAAAGCACCAUAUGAGUGCGAUAGCGUACUUUUUGUAGAACGGUCCGGCGAGUGUAUGUUGCAAGCGAGGUUAAGGUGUUAAGCACUGAAGCCGAAGGGAGACCGAGUGUGAAUAGCGCGUACAGUUUGCAGUAUACGACCCGAAACCGGGUGACCUAACCAUGGACAGGUUGAAGUGGAAGUAAAAUUCCAUGGAGGACCGAACCCACGUCUGUUGAAAAAGGCGGGGAUGAGCUGUGGUUAGCGGUGAAAUUCCAAUCGAACUCGGAUAUAGCUGGUUCUCAUCGAAAUAGCUUUAGGGCUAGCCUCAGGAUAGUUUAGCGGAGGUAAAGCACUGAAUGGGCUAGGGGGCUUCACGGCUUACCGAACCCUAUCAAACUCUGAAUGCCGCAUAAAUGUUUCCUGGGAGUCAGACUGCGUGAGAUAAGUUUCGUAGUCAAAAGGGAAAGAGCCCAGACCUACAGCUAAGGUCCCUAAAUGAAUUUAAGUGGAAAAGGAUGUGCAGUUGCGUAGACAACUAGGACGUUGGCUUAGAAGCAGCCACUCAUUUAAAGAGUGCGUAAUAGCUCACUAGUCGAGUGAUUGUGCGCCGAAAAUGUAACGGGGCUAAAAUUCAUACCGAAGCUUAGGCUUUGCACACUUUGUGUGCGAGGGGUAGAUGAGCGUUGUGUAAGUCUGCGAAGCUACACCGAAAGGAGUAGUGGAGAUAUCACAAGUGAGAAUGCCGGAAUGAGUAGCGAGAAUUAUGUGAGAAUCAUAAUGGUCGAAAAUCUAAGGUUUCUUGAGGAAGGUUCGUCCGCUCAAGGUAAGCCGGGAGCUAAGGCGAGGCCGAGAGGCGUAGUCGAUGCACAUACGGUAAAGAUUCCGUAGCCACCGAAGUCGUUAAAUACAGGGACACAGGAACAUAGCCUAACCCCACCGUUGGUUGAGUGGGGCGUAAGGGAGCGAAAAAUAGUAGCGAAGUAGGUGAUUGUACACUGGCGAGAAAAGCUGUAUGUAUUGAUAAGGUGCCCGUACCGCAAACCGACACAGGUAGAUGAGGAGAGAAUCCUAAGACCAGCGGGAGAAGUGUUGUUAAGGAACUCGGCAAAAUGACCCCGUAACUUCGGGAUAAGGGGAGCCUACGCGAGUAGGCCGCAGAGAAUAGUCUCAAGCGACUGUUUAGCAAAAACACAGGUCUAUGCUAAAUCGAAAGAUGAUGUAUAUGGGCUGACGCCUGCCCGGUGCUGGAAGGUUAAGGGGAAGUGUUAGAGCAAUCGAAGCACUGAACUUAAGCCCCAGUAAACGGCGGCCGUAACUAUAACGGUCCUAAGGUAGCGAAAUUCCUUGUCAGGUAAGUUCUGACCCGCACGAAUGGCGUAACGACUUGAGAGCUGUCUCAACAACAUACCCGGCGAAAUUGAAGUACUGGUAAAGAUGCCAGUUACCCGUGAUAAGACGGAAAGACCCCAUGGAGCUUUACUGUAACUUGAUAUUGAAUUUUUGUAUUACAUGUACAGGAUAGGUGGGAGACAGAGAACUAAUGCCGCCAGGUGUUAGGGAGUCGAUGUUGGGAUACCACUCUUGUAAUAUGAAGGUUCUAACCUGCACCCGUGAAUCCGGGUGGGGGACACUGUCAGGUGGACAGUUUGACUGGGGCGGUCGCCUCCUAAAAGGUAACGGAGGCGUUCAAAGGUUGGUUCAGCACGGACGGAAAUCGUGCAACGAGUGCAAACGCAUAAACCAGCCUAACUGCGAGACCGACAAGUCGAGCAGUAACGAAAGUUGGAGUUAGUGAUCCGGCGGUAUGAGAGUGGAAUUGCCGUCGCUCAACGGAUAAAAGCUA
rnacentral:rRNA from 1 species